AACUUAAGCAUAUCAAUAAGCGGAGGAAAAGAAACCAACAGGGAUUGCCCUAGUAACGGCGAGUGAAGCGGCAACAGCUCAAAUUUGAAAUCUGGCUCCUUCCGGGGUCCGAGUUGUAAUUUGUAGAGGGUGCUUUGGCGUCGGCCAUGGUCUAAGUUCCUUGGAACAGGACGUCACAGAGGGUGAGAAUCCCGUACGUGGCCGCUGGCCUUCGCCAUGUAAAGCCCCUUCGACGAGUCGAGUUGUUUGGGAAUGCAGCUCUAAAUGGGAGGUAAAUUUCUUCUAAAGCUAAAUAUUGGCCAGAGACCGAUAGCGCACAAGUAGAGUGAUCGAAAGAUGAAAAGCACUUUGGAAAGAGAGUCAAAAAGCACGUGAAAUUGUUGAAAGGGAAGCGCUUGCAGCCAGACUUGCCCGUAGUUGCUCAUCCAGGCUUCGGCCUGGUGCACUCUUCUGCGGGCAGGCCAGCAUCAGUCCAGGCGGUCGGAUAAAGGUCCCGGGAAUGUGGCUCUCUUCGGGGAGUGUUAUAGCCCGGGGCGCAAUGCGGCCAGCUUGGACUGAGGUCCGCGCAUCUGCUAGGAUGCUGGCGUAAUGGCUGUAAGCGGCCCGUCUUGAAACACGGACCAAGGAGUCUAACAUCUAUGCGAGUGUUUGGGUGUCAAGCCCGAGCGCGCAAUGAAAGUGAACGGAGGUGGGAACCCGAAAGGGCGCACCAUCGACCGAUCCUGAUGUCUUCGGAUGGAUUUGAGUAAGAGCAUAGCUGUUGGGACCCGAAAGAUGGUGAACUAUGCCUGAAUAGGGUGAAGCCAGAGGAAACUCUGGUGGAGGCUCGCAGCGGUUCUGACGUGCAAAUCGAUCGUCAAAUUUGGGCAUAGGGGCGAAAGACUAAUCGAAC
rnacentral:rRNA from 1 species